AUUGAACGCUGGCGGCAUGCCUUACACAUGCAAGUCGAACGGCAGCACGGGGCAACCUGGUGGCGAGUGGCGAACGGGUGAGUAAUGCAUCGGAACGUACCUUUCAGUGGGGGAUAACGUAGCGAAAGUUACGCUAAUACCGCAUAUUCUGUGAGCAGGAAAGCAGGGGAUCGCAAGACCUUGCGCUGAUUGAGCGGCCGAUGUCAGAUUAGCUAGUUGGUGAGGUAAAGGCUCACCAAGGCGACGAUCUGUAGCGGGUCUGAGAGGAUGAUCCGCCACACGGGAACUGAGACACGGUCCAGACUCCGACGGGGGGCAGCAGUGGGGAAUUUUGGACAAUGGGGGCAACCCUGAUCCAGCCAUGCCGCGUGAGUGAAGAAGGCCUUCGGGUUGUAAAGCUCUUUCGGCCGGGAAGAAAUCGCACGGGCUAAUACCCUGUGUGGAUGACGGGACCGGAAUAAGAAGGACCGGCUAACUACGUGCCAGCCGCCGCAGUAAUAC
rnacentral:rRNA from 1 species